UACAGUAGAAGACAAUAAAAACUUCGCGUUCCGUUUACGUUGAACGGCGAUUAAACAGUAGCGCCGUUUCCGUUUUUAUUGUGGUUGUUCCGUUCAUGGUCCGUUGGGUCUGGGCACUACCGUUUUUAUUUUCAUGAACAACGCUCCAAGCGUUGCUCGACUUUUCUCUUUUCUGACAGUUUCUUCAGGAGUCAGGCUUUCUUAGAUACACUUACAAAACGACAAUGAGCCAUGGUUGAUGAUAAAACCAGACAGGACGACAAGAAGUAGUCACAAGAAAAAGUGCUCUGUCAAGCAAAGAAGCAGCUAUUAUAUUAUUAUCAUUUUAUAAAAUAAAAUCAUGUAAUUAUAGACCUGCUAGUACCAAGAUCAAAAUGCAUGACGCUUGAAUCUUUUAUAAAAUA